rnacentral:rRNA from 1 species
GUGGGGAAUAUUGGGCAAUGGGCGAAAGCCUGACCCAGCAACGCCGCGUGAGGGAAGAAGGCCUUCGGGUUGUAAACCUCUGUCCUUGGUGACGAAAAAAAUGACGGUAGCCAAGGAGGAAGCCCCGGCUAACUACGUGCCAGCAGCCGCGGUAAUACGUAGGGGGCGAGCGUUGUCCGGAAUUACUGGGCGUAAAGGGUGCGUAGGUGGCCUUUUAAGUUGGAUGUGAAAUACCCGGGCUUAACUUGGGGGGUGCAUCUAAUACUGGAGGGCUAGAGUGCAGGAGAGGGAAGCGGAAUUCCUAGUGUAGCGGUGAAAUGCGUAGAUAUCGAGAGGAAUACCAAAGGCGUAGGCAGGUCACUGGACAGUUACUGACACUGAGGCACGAAGGCCAGGGGAGCGAACGGGAUUAGAAACCCGUGUAGUCC